GACGAACGCUGGCGGCGUGCUUAACACAUGCAAGUCGAACGGUAAGGCCCUUCGGGGUACACGAGUGGCGAACGGGUGAGUAACACGUGGGUGAUCUGCCCUGCACUUCGGGAUAAGCCUGGGAAACUGGGUCUAAUACCGGAUAGGACCACUGCCUGCAUGGGUGGUGGUGGAAAGCUUUUGCGGUGUGGGAUGGGCCCGCGGCCUAUCAGCUUGUUGGUGGGGUGAUGGCCUACCAAGGCGACGAAGGGUAGCCGGCCUGAGAGGGUGACCGGCCCCACUGGGACUGAGAUACGGCCCACACUCCUACGGGAGGCAGCAGUAGGGAAUAUUGCACAAUGGGCGCAAGCCUGAUGCAGCGACGCCGCGUGAGGGAUGACGGCCUUCGGGUUGUAAACCUCUUUCAGCACCGACGAAGCGCAAGUGACGGUAGGUGCAGAAGAAGGACCGGCCAACUACGUGCCAGCCGCCGCGGUAA
rnacentral:rRNA from 1 species